rnacentral:rRNA from 1 species
UACGGAGGGUGCAAGCGUUAUCCGGAUUCACUGGGUUUAAAGGGUGCGUAGGUGGGAUGGUAAGUCAGUGGUGAAAUCUCCGGGCUUAACCCGGAACUGCCGUUGAUACUAUCAUUCUUGAAUAUUGUGGAGGUAAGCGGAAUAUGUCAUGUAGCGGUGAAAUGCUUAGAUAUGACAUAGAACACCGAUAGCGAAGGCAGCUUGCUACACAAUAUUGACACUGA